rnacentral:lncRNA from 1 species
AUUGCAUCACUAGGUCCCUAUCUGCAACCGUAGCAAAUUUAAAGAUAUAAUAGCCAUAGCCAUGAUAUAGUACCUUUGGUUUCGUCACAAAAUUCCACACAUGAGCUAUGUAAUUCUUCAUUGUUUUGAAAAAUAGAGAAUCCCCCAAUACAUAUCCAAUCAAUUCAGUGCUCCAGUGGUUGGCUUGAACAAGUAUAUCAUCUUCCUCAAGCUGCACAAUCAGCUUCUCCCCCUUCAUCAUCGGUGGAAUAUAAUUAAGUGCCUUCCCCAUUUGUGAACUCCUAUUUGGGGGUUUCACCUGAUCCUUCUCCUCCUCUGUUUUCACCUCAGCUUGAGUUGGGGGAGCUUGAGACGAGGUACCUACAUCAGAAAAUUACAACCUCCGGGGAAAUUGUGAGUCCUCCGGCCUCCUAGUAAUCCUCUUCCUAGCUGGGUCAUGUUUCACCACUCUCGCCUCCACUAGCUCAGUUUCCUCACGGAUUGGCUGAAACGAGCCUGGGAUGAAGUUCCCAAAAGUUAAUGGACCUAAUUUUUGUUGUAUUCCACUUGGUGGUGUAACGAUGACCGGCAGUGGCGAUACUACUGUUCGACGAGCCAUUCUCACUACCUGCAUACGUUAGUAGCCUGCUAU